rnacentral:rRNA from 1 species
GAUGAACGCUGGCGGCGUGCCUAAUACAUGCAAGUCGAGCGAACGGACGAGAAGCUUGCUUCUCUGAUGUUAGCGGCGGACGUGUGAGUAACACGUGGAUAACCUACCUAUAAGACUGGGAUAACUUCGGGAAACCGGAGCUAAUACCGGAUGAUAUUUUGAACCGCAUGGUUCAAAAGUGAAAGACGGUCUUGCUGUCACUUAUAGAUGGAUCCGCGCUGCAUUAGCUAGUUGGUAAGGUAAUGGCUUACCAAGGCAACGAUGCAUAGCCGACCUGAGAGGGUGAUCGGCCACACUGGAACUGAGACACGGUCCAGACUCCUACGGGAGGCAGCAGUAGGGAAUCUUCCGCAAUGGGCGAAAGCCUGACGGAGCAACGCCGCGUGAGUGAUGAAGGUCUUCGGAUCGUAAAACUCUGUUAUUAGGGAAGAACAUAUGUGUAAGUAACUGUGCACAUCUUGACGGUACCUAAUCAGAAAGCCACGGCUAACUACGUG